rnacentral:rRNA from 1 species
GAUGAACGCUGGCGGCGUGCCUAAUACAUGCAAGUCGAGCGAACAGACGAGGAGCUUGCUCCUCUGACGUUAGCGGCGGACGGGUGAGUAACACGUGGAUAACCUACCUAUAAGACUGGGAUAACUUCGGGAAACCGGAGCUAAUACCGGAUAAUAUAUUGAACCGCAUGGUUCAAUAGUGAAAUACGGUUUUGCUGUCACUUAUAGAUGGAUCCGCGCCGCAUUAGCUAGUUGGUAAGGUAACGGCUUACCAAGGCAACGAUGCGUAGCCGACCUGAUAGGGUGAUCGGCCACACUGGAACUGAAACACGGUCCAGACUCCUACGGGAGGCAGCAGUAGGCAAUCUUCCGCAAUGGGCGAAAGCCUGACGGAGCAACGCCGCGUGAGUGAUGAAGGUCUUCGGAUCGUAAAACUCUGUUAUUAGGGAAGAACAAAUGUGUAAGUAACUAUGCACGUCUUGACGGUACCUAAUCAGAAAGCCACGGCUAACUACGUG